rnacentral:rRNA from 1 species
UACGUAGGGGGCCAGCGUUGUCCGGAAUCAUUGGGCGUAAAGCGCGCGUAGGCGGUCAGGUAAGUCCGGUGUGAAAGUCAAAGGCUCAACCUUUGAAUGCCGCUGGAUACUGCUUGACUUGAGUCCGGAAGGGGCGAGUGGAAUUCCUGGUGUAGCGGUGAAAUGCGCAGAUAUCAGGAAGAACACCAAUGGCGAAGGCAGCUCUCUGGGACGGUACUGACGCUGAGACGCGAAAGCGUGGGGAGCGAACAGG